AUCCAGCUGACGAGUCCCAAAUAGGACGAAGUGACGCGCGCCUUGAAU
rfam:Schistosoma rodhaini strain Burundi genome assembly, scaffold: SROB_scaffold0010988